rnacentral:rRNA from 1 species
CAGACUCCUACGGGAGGCAGCAGUGGGGAAUAUUGCACAAUGGGCGCAAGCCUGAUGCAGCGACGCCGCGUGAGGGAUGACGGCCUUCGGGUUGUAAACCUCUUUCAGCAGGGACGAAGCGCGAGUGACUGUACCUGCAGAAGAAGCACCGGCUAACUACGUGCCAGCAGCCGCGGUAAUACGUAGGGUGCGAGCGUUGUCCGGAUUUAUUGGGCGUAAAGAGCUUGUAGGCGGCUCGUCGCGUCGGGUGUGAAAACUCGCGGCUCAACCGCGAGCCUGCACCCGAUACGGGCGGGCUGGAGUUCGGCAGGGGAGACUGGAAUUCCUGGUGUAGCGGUGGAAUGCGCAGAUAUCAGGAGGAACACCGGUGGCGAAGGCGGGUCUUUGGGCCGAUACUGACGCUGAGAAGCGAAAGCGUGGGGAGCGAACAGGAUUAGAUACCCUGGUAGUCCACGCCGUAAACGUUGGGAACUAGGU